CUUGGCUCAGGAUGAACGCUAGCGACAGGCCUAACACAUGCAAGUCGAGGGGCAGCACAAGGAGCAAUCUGAGGUGGCGACCGGCGCACGGGUGAGUAACACGUAUGCAACCUGCCUGUAAGCGGGGAAUAACCCGUUGAAAGACGGACUAAUACCGCAUAAUACUAAAUUACUGCAUGGUAAUUUAUUUAAACAUUUAUGGCUUACAGAUGGGCAUGCGCAUGAUUAGCUAGUUGGAGAGGUAACGGCUCCCCAAGGCAACGAUCAUUAGGGGUUCUGAGAGGAAGGUCCCCCCACACUAGUACUGAGACACGGACCAGACUCCUACGGGAGGCAGCAGUGAGGAAUAUUGGUCAAUGGACGAGAGUCUGAACCAGCCAAGUCGCGUGCAGGAAGAAUUGUCCUAUGGAUUGUAAACUGCUUUUGCAGGGGAAUAAAGUGCAUCACGUGUGAUGUUUUGUAUGUACUCUGCGAAUAAGGAUCGGCUAACUCCGUGCCAGCCGCCGC
rnacentral:rRNA from 1 species